rnacentral:rRNA from 1 species
AGUGAACGCUGGCGGUAGGCCUAACACAUGCAAGUCGAACGGCAGCACAGUAAGAGCUUGCUCUUACGGGUGGCGAGUGGCGGACGGGUGAGGAAUACAUCGGAAUCUACUUUUUCGUGGGGGAUAACGUAGGGAAACUUACGCUAAUACCGCAUACGACCUACGGGUGAAAGCAGGGGAUCUUCGGACCUUGCGCGAUUGAAUGAGCCGAUGUCGGAUUAGCUAGUUGGCGGGGUAAAGGCCCACCAAGGCGACGAUCCGUAGCUGGUCUGAGAGGAUGAUCAGCCACACUGGAACUGAGACACGGUCCAGACUCCUACGGGAGGCAGCAGUGGGGAAUAUUGGACAAUGGGCGAAAGCCUGAUCCUGCCAUACCGCGUGGGUGAAGAAGGCCUUCGGGUUGUAAAGCCCUUUUGUUGGGAAAGAAAAGCAGCAGGUUAAUACCCCGCUGUUCUGACGGUACCCAAAGAAUAAGCACCGGCUAACUUCGUG